UAUCAGCACCAAUCAAAGCCAACUCAGCCAUAAUCCACAAAAUCAUUCGAGCCCAGGUUGGAUACUCUUCUCUACAUAGCUCAGCCAAAUGCCUUCCUGUAGCCACUCCAAGCCUUGCUGACAGCAACUGCACCAACAAACCCAUAGCAGUAGCCCAUAAGAGAAGCCAAAGCAAAGAAUACCCUGCAAUUGCACCAGCCUGAAGAUCCCCUUCCAAAUUGCCAGGGUCCAAAAAAGCAAUGCACAUUAAAAACCCAGGACCAGUGAACAACCAUAAUUUUCUCCAUGAAAAUGAUGGCACCACCGUUGAGCCACCGCUUUCGGUGUCAUAAUCAAUCCCAAAUGAAAGGACUUUCCCGUCAGAAUCAUGAGCUGUUUCUUCUUGGUCUUUUAAUAAAGGUUGUGGGUCUUCUUCUGGUAAAGGCAUUGGAUUUUGAGUUAGAAGGUCUACUGUUAAGGUCUGAUUUAAGAUUGUUUGUGUCUUUUUUGUUUAUUUUCCUUUUUUCGAGGUUGGAGGAGGAAGAGAGAGACGCAUAGAGAUUGUUGGAUAGUUGGUAUUAGUUAUUUUUUAAGUAAUUUUUAUUUAGAAAAAUAUUAAAAUAAUAUUUUAAAUUUUUUUUUAUCAAUAUAUAUAUAUAUAAUUAUCUAAGCAUAUAGACUAUUUUGAUAUAUAUUUUUACAUCGAAAAAUUUAAAAAUAAAAAUCAAAUUGGUGUUUAUUCUAACAAAUAAAUUCUAAAAAUUCAAGUGUUCUCAUAGAAAGUUGAACAUGCACUUAGAAAAACCUAAAAAACAACUCAAUCACUAUGAGACGACUUCAAAGCUAAAUUUUAGCUGAAUGAAUAAUUAGAAACUAUUUUGCAUGUUCACAUGAAAGAAAGCAAAGCUUAUCGAUCCUAAAUAAAUGUAUUUGAAAUGAGAAAAAGAUCAUAUUUGAUAAUCCUUUCAUAAGGCGAGUUUAAUAUUUUUUUUAUAUAUAUAGAAAAUAACUUUUAUUAAGAUCACACCUUGAGCAAGUGUGAGAAUCAAAUAAAAGUAAUCUAAAUAUACAGAAUAAUCCUCAAUGAUUAAAAGUAUCCAAAUAAAGUUGGGGGCAUAAAAGAAUCUAAAGAGUCGAGAAGGUGUAAGCAUACCACAAAAAACUAAUAUGAUUAUGAUGCUCAAAACUAAAUGAAGAAAAAAAAUGAAAAGCCCAAGCUCGAUAAUAGGGGGGACGAUGGACCAUUUUACAAGUCGAAGGUCUAGAAAUCCAUGGACCAAAAAAAGGUCAAGAAACAAGCACUAGUGAUUAUUGGUUAUGAAAUCCCUUAAACACCUUUUCCACGCAAAAGUAUCCUUUUUCUUCAUAACCAAAAGCCAAAGCCAAUGAUAGGUACCCAACUAAGCCCUUUCAAAUCAAAGACAUGCAAUCUACAUCAGUAGGCAAUGCUUUCCCAUGAGAAAUAAGCUGAAUUAUUCAUAUAAAUAAAAUCAAUGCUUUAAAGACUGGUUCUCUGAAAUCCUCAAAUUGAAGCUUGAACCACUUUGGCCAUUAAAACAUCAUUUUACACUUUUACCAAAAUAACAAAACAAAGACUUUCAAACUUGCUCAUAUGAAUCACUUGAAUUUUAUUUUUUACAAGUUUGUUUGAAAUUGACAUCAAAAUGGUCUUUAUGUUUGCAAUGACUUUGAAAUUCCAGAAAAUUUUCCAUGAAAACAACCCUUUUAAAUAAAUCUUAUUCUGCAUAGCAUCAUCCCUAAAGAAAAACUUGAAACUUUGAACACUUGGGGGCAUGAUUAGGCUAAGGGGUAAUCCAAAAACACAUAAUAAGCUUGACUCUAUGAUUUCUUUUUUAAGAAAAUAGAAAAUGUAGGGUAGAGCUAGCGACUUUCAAGAUAAAGGUUUGUAUGCAAAGAAGUAUGCAGAUAUAAUGUCCUUCCUAAAGUUCAAAAUCACAAGUUAUGAUUCGAGUAAGCGAAAGCGAAAAAGCCAUCAAAGCUUACUACAAAGACUCAAACUUUUAAGAAGAGGGAAAUUCUAUAAAGAAAGGAGACUUAUAUUUUUUAGGUAAGUAUACACGCAUAUCGAUCAUAAUGUAUUAUACUUUGAUCUUCGGCAGACCGGUGUUUCAUUAUCUUAUGUAUUUUUUUUCCUUCUCAGGGCGCUUUCUAGCCCUCAUCCUCUAGAUAAUAUGCUUUCUAGCCCUAUCUCAUUUUCUUCUGAGUCUAUUUUAUAACCCUCGUCCUUUAGAUAAUGCAUUUUCUAGCCCUAUCUCUUUUCCUUUCGAGUGUGUUUUCUAGCCCUUGUCCUUCAGAUAAUCCAAUUUCUAGCCUUAUCUUUUUUCUUUUGAGUGCGCUUUCUAGUCUUAUCUCUUUCCUCCCGAAUGUGUUUUCUAGCCCUCGUAUAUCUAAUAGUGCGUUUUCAAGCCCUGUCUUCUUUCCCUUUGAGUGCACAUUUGAGCCCUCAUCCCUUUGAUAAUGUCUUUUCUAGCUCUAUCUCAUUUUCUUUCGAGUGUGCUUUCUAGCCUAUGUCCUGUGGAUAAUAUGCUUUCUAGCAUAAUCUAUUUCAUACUGGAUAGUGUGCUUUCUAGCCCUAUCUCUUUCUUUAUGAGUGUGCUUUCUAGCCCUCGUCCUUCAAAUAGUGUAUUUUUUAGCCAUAUCUCUUUUCUUUCCAAGUGCGCUUUCUAGCCCUCGUCCUCUAGAUAGUGUGCUUUUUAGCCCUAUAUAUAUUGUGUGUGUGUGUGCGCGCGCUUUUUAACCCUAUCUCCUUUCCCUUAGAGUGCACCUUUAGCCAUCAUCCAUCAGAUAAUGCAUUUUCUAACUUUAUCUCUUUUUGAGUGCGCUUUCUAGCCAUUGUUUACCCAAUAGUGCAUUUUCUAGCCCUAUCCCUUCUCUUCUUGAAUGCGUUUUUAAGCCUUCAAUCAUCAGAUAGAGCGUUUUCUAACCCUAUCUCUUUUCGAGUGCACUUUUCAGCCCUCGUCUACCAUAUAGUGCUCUUUCUAGCCAUAUCUCUUUGAGUGCAUCUUUAAGCCCUCAUCUCUUUGAUAGUGUGUUUUCUAGCCCUAUCUCCUUUUCCUAUAAGUGCGUCUUUGAGCCCUUAUUUUUCACAUAGUGUAUUUUUUAGCCCUAUCUCUUUUUAUCUUUAUGCCUCAUCCUAGAUAGUGCGCUUUCUAGCCCUAUUUUUUUUUUAUUAUUCUGAAUGCGUUUUUGAGCCCUCAUUUCAAACACUUUUAGAAGAAUUGAUCAUUUUUUGAUCUGGUGAAUCUAUUAUCUCUUAUUCCUUUUUGUUCUUUACAAAGCUUAUUAUUUAAAGUCUCUUACAAGACUUCCUAUUGUAAGCAUUGUAAAGAGGGGACAACAAUUAUAAUCUAUUUUUUAGGUUAUUCCCCUAAAAUUUACCUUUUUUCCUUUUAAAAUAAAAUAAUAGUAGUGAGAAGACUAGUGAUUUGGUAAAAAUAGACUAAGAAGGAUUUCAAAUGUACAAAAGAAUCAAACUAUAAUUUUUUAUGGAAUUAAAAGCUUAAUCGUACCCCAUCGAACCUAAGACUGAAGAGACAAUGUGGAUUCAAAGUCAAAUUAAAUGAUUAUUGGAAAAAUCUACAUAAAAAUUAAGUCAGAGACAAUGUGGAUUCAAAGUCAAAUUAAAUGAUUAUUGGACAAAUCUGCAUAAAAAUUAAGUCCAAGGAGAUAGUUAGUCUUUUAAUAGGCUAAUUUGAUUUAAUCAUGAGCCAAAUUAAAAUUUUAAUUAUAUUUAAGAAUUAAUUUUGGUCAAAUUAAAUGAUUUAAUUAAGUGCAAAGACUUAAUUAUACUUUAAAUAGAUCAAAUUAAUUUUAAUAGGUAUUUAAUUGGUGAAAAAUUAAGUUUAAGAGCCCAAUUUGGGCUUAAUUGAGAAGAUUGGAAUUUUAGAGGACCAAAUCUAAUUUUUACAAAGUCAAUUGAUUAAAAUUAGGGGUUAAAUUGAAGAAAUUUAUAGCCAAUGACCUUUUUAGAAAAGGCAUCGAAUUCUAGAGACUUAAUUUGAUUGAACACAGGAGUGAAAUUGAAAGUUGAUGGUUAAUUUGCAUAAAUCCAAAACUAAAGAUCACAAUGAAAAAUGCGUUAAAACUCGAGGUUGAUAUUGAAAUUUGGCAAGGGCAAACUUGCAUUAAAUCAAAAGUUUGGGGUCAAUUAGGGGAUGCAAUUAAAAAUAAUUAAAACUCGAAAGACUAAAUUGAACUUUGGCCAAAUCUCUAAAUUAAAAUCCUAAAGCCAAAACGGCACCGUUUUGAAAGAAAAAAAAAAACAACCAGACAACACAUACUACAUGCAGAAUAGGUCUUUCCGACAACUACCCUACUACCGCCACGACGUCACCUCAAAGUGGCCAACACCACCAACUUUUAGCAACCAAUUUUCACAUUCCAUGAUUGUACCUUUGAGCCAAUGAUUAGGAUCCUUCUCAGUUGAAUCAAAGACCAAGAUUUGUCCCUAAUAAAAAUAAAAUUUCCCUCUUCCAUCCCGUAUAAAUUGGGGUGGAUUCCAGGCAUUGAAAAACAAUAAAUCAUAAGCCAAAGUCGGAGACAAACCAGCCCCUCGGUUCUUAUUCUGCUAAUCUUCUUCAACCUCUUUCCUCUCUUCUUUCUCCACCACCAGCUACAUACCAGACUCCCCAGCAUCACCAGGAACACCACUAGCAACUUUUCUCCUCUCCAGGCAAUCCUUCAUCUUCUUUUUCUUCUUUAAACCUCCCUCCCGGGCCGCCCCAGGUAGCCAUUUGAAUUCUGCAUGCAAAUAGCAAAAGAUAAUUAACAAGAGAGAGGUUAGGUCUUCUAUAGACCCAAUAUGAUCAGAUUAGGCUUGGGCUUGGGCUCUAGGCCCAGCCUAAUCUUUUUAAAAAAGAGAGGUUAGGCCUUUUAUCGGCCCAACUUGACUAAGUUAGGUUGGACCCAUUUCCAGCCCAACCUGUAUGGUUGGGGUGGGUCGAACCAAGAUUAAAAAAAAGGUCUGUUAGGCCAUCAGUUGACCCAACCUAACCGAGUCCGGUCCCGAUAGCUGAGCUAGGUCCAACCCACUUAAUAAAUAAAUAAUAUAAUAAUAUUAAAAGUAUAUAUAUAUAUAUAUAUUAAAAAAAAUCAAGUUUUUCAAAAGGCAUUUUAAAAAUAUUUAGGGCCCCUAGCAUGUUUUUCCAACUAUUUUGCAUAAUAUCAUGUUGUAGACUUAUACUGUAACAUACAAACUCGAUAUUAAAAAUACCUGAUUUUCUCUGACUUAAAAAAAAUCUACAUAUUUUCUAGAGAGAUAAAAUCAUUUUUGUCAUGUUUUUUUUAAUACAAAAUGAAUAUCAUAACCGGUUUAUGACUAUUUAUUAGGGUUUGACCAAAAUAUAAAAAAUAUCAUUAUAAUUUACUUGUCAUUCAAAAUGCUAGGACUUAGCUAUAUCUAAGAAAUAAAUAAGUUUGAUUCUUAAAAUAGUUAGGAUUUAACCCAAUAAGAUAUAGACUUUCUCACGAAUGGAGAUCUACCUUGAAACUUAGACGAGACCAAUAGACAUAAAUGUGACUUAGAAUAACAAUUAAACAAUAAUGCAAUUUACCUUAGAUAUGGUGCAUUAGGGAUGAUGUGUCUUUCUCUUGCAUAACUAGUCUUUUACCUAAACUCUUGCAGACCAUUAGGUUUUCUAGUAAUUAUAAUAUUAGGUGGAGACUAUUGACUUCAUAAUCGUAAUUUUAUGAUUAAACUUUAAAAUUCCUUUUUAACACAUUCAGGAGAUAGAUCUACCACUCAACAUCGUGCACAUCACAACACACAACAUCAAAGAAGGGUAUCCUAAAAACUAGAAUACAAGAAUAAAUUCACACACAUAUCAACACCAACAUAGAAAGUAAAAAUAAAAAAAAAAUGAAUACUCACAACUAAUAUUUACAAUAAAAAACAACAUUAAGGUUUUACAAAUAUUUAAAAUUAUAAAUCUAAAAAAAAAAAAAGCAAUGUUGUUACCGUUGGUGACUUUGCUUCUUCAUGGCAAUCAACUAGAUACUUGGAAUAGUAGCUCGAAAGAGUAUUGUCAAGGCCACCCUCGCCCAUAUGUCUAUAUUCUUAAAAGAAAAGAAAAAAAUACUUUUAUUAUUAUUGUUAUUAUUAUUAUUAUUAUUAUUAUUUAAAAAAUAAAAAGUCUCAUAUUAAUUUCUUUCAUUAUUCAUUAGGCAACAAUCUCCGAGAAAAGACCUAUAAGUGAUUCAUUUAUCUUGGGAUGGCUUAUGAAUAAUAAAAAAUAAUUAACACAUCAUAAAGUUAUGAGAAAAUAUGUGAUAUUUUGAAUACAAUAAAGUUAUAUAUCAAAUAAUUUUAUUAUUCAUCAAUCAACAUUCAAAUACAACACCUAGUAACAAUUCAUUUAUCUCAUAUGGAUUUAUGAAUAAUGAAAUUUUUAAUACAUGAAAACUUGUAAGAAAGUACUUUGAAGACAUUUUAAAUACAAUGAUGUAAUGUAUUAAACAAUUUUAUUACUGAUCAGUCAACACUCUAUGACAACGCCUAGUAAUAGUUCAUUUAUCCUUUGUGGAUCUUUAAAUAAUAAAACUAUUAAUACACAAUAAUAUUGAGAGGAAAAAAAAAUAAAUACAAUAAUGUAAUAUAUUAAUCGGUUUCAUUACCUAACAAUCAACACACAAGGACAAUGUUUAAUGAUGAUUUAUUUAUUCUUAUGGGUUUAUGAAUAAUAAAACAAUUAAUACACAAUAGCAUAAGAAAAAAUAUCUUGAAGACAUUUUAAGUACAAUAUAAUGUUUUAAGUAAUUUCAUUACCUAUCAAUUAACACUUUAAAAUAGCAUAUAAUGACAGUUCAUUUAUUUUAUGUUGGUUUAUGAAUAAUAAAAUCAUUAAUACACAAUACCAUUACAUAUUAACACAUAACAUAACAAGUUAUAAACAACAUAAAACUUAUAUUGAGAUCUAAUAUUUACACCUCAAAUAAAUAUAUUGCAACCCAUCCUCCUCAGCUCAUUACAAGGUAUUGAUUGCAACCUUAUUUACGUUGAAAAAUAAUUCUUUGAUGGCUUUAUAUCUUUAGGAUUUUCACACAAUGUACCAGGGGUGAGCAAAAAAACCGAAAAACCGAGAAAACUGGAAAAAAAACCCAAAAAAAACCGAAUUAACCGAUUAAAAAAUCACAAAAAAAUUCCGGUUCGGUUCGGUUUAGGUUUCUAAAGUCUGAAAUCGAUUGAACCGAACCGGUUCAACCAGCCACCACUUAAAAAAAAAACAAGUAUAAAUAGAAAGUUUUUAACCCUAAACCUACAUUCAGCCGCCGCCCCCCCCUCCCUUUGCUCUAUGCUCUCUGCAUCUCCCCCUCAUCUCUCCUUUCUUAUUUUUCUUAAUGCUUUUUUAACCCCUAAACCUACAUUCAGCCGCCCCCCCUCCUCAUUUGCUCCCACCUCCCUUUGCUCUCUGCAUCUCCCCCUCAUCUCUCCUCUCUUAUUUUUCUUCAUGCUCAGCUCCAUGAUUGUUACUUAUUAGUUGUUGAGCUCCUGCUUCAUGCUCCUUUGCUUAAGCUCCAUCUCUUUCAGCCGCCCCCUCUCCUUGUGCUCUGUCUCUCAUCCCUCAAAUGAUUUGAGUCAAAUCUGUUUUAUUCUCUUCCAUGCUCUUUAUCUCUGUCUCUCAUCUCUCAGAUCUGCAUGUUCUUGGCCCAAAUGUUGUGGUGCUUGAUAGUUUUAGUAGGUUCAUCUCUCAGAUCAUGCUUCUGUUCAAUUCUUUCCCUGCGGUAAUGUUUGGUAAUUGUUUUUGGAAAUGCUUCUGGUUGAAUCAGUAAUCAUGGACUUGAUCUAAUUUUUUGUGACCUCAAUAUGAUGAGAUUUGGGUUAUAGGAAUUGCUGGGAAUUGCUUUCUAUUUGUUUGCAAUUGGUAGGCCUUGUAACAUUCCCUGAAGAAGGAGUGAAUUGAAUCUAAAAUUUGCUUGAGCAUCAUAAUUUCGGUUUAACCGGUUUGGAAGGGGGGAAAACCUAAUUGAUCCGAACCGAAAUUAAUCGGUUUAACUGGUUUUUGGUUCGGUUCGGUUCAAGAACUUAAAAAAAAAAUUUCAAUUUUGUUGUUAAUUUUGGUCCAAAACCGGACCUAACCGAAAAUACUCAGCCCUACAAUAUACAUACCUCAACACUUCAAAUAUUUUUUAUAAAAUAUAAAUUAUAUUAUAAAAAAAUAAGCAAGGAAAAGUCUUUUUUUACCCCUGGAAUAUGCUGGACACUGACUCGCAUUGUGAUGCCGCAUGGUGUGCACACCCAUGAAGUGGAUUCACCUCCGGUGAAGGUACGCCUGCAUGACUAUCUAGAUUGGAUGCGUGUCUUUAUCCUUUUUUUUUUUCUAUAUCGACAGUGAACCUCACCGCCGCCACCUAGGGGAGGAUAUCAAACCAAGGAAAGGUCCAAAAUCUCUUCUUGUUGGUUUUCUCUCUCUUCAUGGGUGUUUGGCUGUCGCCAUUGUUGUUGUCGUCAAGUGGCUAGUGCAUGUAGCUGUUCUUGGUGGGGGGGUGUUGUUACCGAGAGAUAAGAAGUGGUUGGGCAGAGAAAAGCAGAGAUGGACUAUUUUAGUUGGUGUGGAGGAGAGAGGGGUUGCGAUGGUCACUGUCAUGGUAAAGGCAUGUGGUUCUGGUGAUUGAAAAUUGUGAGGGAUGAGAACGAGGAAAGAGAGAGCUUUAUUUAUACCCCUUCGUUUUUUAUUCCUUCUUAUCUUCUCUUCUAUUAUAUUCAACUCUUUUCUUUUUCUUUUUCUUUUUCUUUUCUUUUUCUUUUUAUUUAUUUUUUAUUCUUUAUUCUUUUUUAACUUUUAGUUAUUAGAUACCGUUUGGCAUUGCAUUUAUAAUUGUGUUUCAUCAAAUUUUAAAUUUUUUUUUAUUAAAAUUAAAUACAGUUUGUAUUUUUUAGAUCGUUUUGAUAUGAUGUUGACAUAUAUUUCGACACAAAAAACUAUUUGAAAAGCAACCUUUAAAAAGCAACCACUACCACACUAUCAAACAGGGAUCAAUACUACAUUUUUGUUUUGUCUACCACACUGUCAAACAGGGAUCAAUACUACAUGUUUGUUUUGUCUUCUUUCUUUCCUUGAUUAUUAUUUCACUUAUUGUUUUGUUAACACUAAUUUUAUUUGUAGUAAAAACACAAGUUACGAUUUUGUGGAGCCAUGAUAUUUUGGUUUUUAGUGUUAACAAUUACAUGUAAUUUUAAGCUGACUGGUUUGACUACAAAUUGAAUUACAGCGAUGCAACUAUGAAAGGUAUCCACCACGUUAAGUUAAAGUUUAGGUAAUGUUUGUCAUUAUGUUUCAAAAAUAUUUUCAAAAAAAUUUAAAUUUUUUGUUUAAAUUAAUAUUUUUUUUAUAUUUUUAAAUUAAUACAUUAAUAUUAAAAAUAAUUUUAAAAAAAUAAAAUAACAUUAUUUUAAUAUAUUUUAAAAUAAAAAACAUUUUAAAAAACAUGCAAGGGCUAUUAAACAAACCUUAAAAAAACGUUCUCUUUGCAUCCAUGUGUUUCAAGUCCUCUGUAUCGAAAAGAAUAAUGGGCAAGAUCUAUAAUGCAGAAACAAUUCUUUUCUUUGUUUUUUUUUGUUUUUUUUUUCCCGACGGCACUGAAACACAAUAAGCGGCUUUAAGUAAAUUUUGUACACAGGCAAGCCUGGAAAGAUGCUCGAGAAAUAACUCUAUGCAUAAACAGCUGAAGUUAUUCCUCUGCAAAUCAAAUUUGACUGCCAUCUGAUAUAUUGCUGGUAACUGAAACUGCAUGCUUAAAAUAUCUUGCUGUCAAAGUUUGAUCACUCUACUUCUAUCUGUUUAGAUUGACAGCACCAGGAGAAACAUUUAAAGCCCCUAGAAAUGAGAUAAAUUAUAAACGCAACAUAUGCACCUGUAAAACCGCAUACUACAGUGGUAAACGCUACUCCGGUCACUUCAUUGACGAAAAAGUCGAGCAAAAGGUAACCAUUGAUUACUAUCACCAGGGCAGCCACAAGCCAAGAUACCAUCUGCAAAGGGCAAAAGAAGGUUCGAACAAUGCAUCACUUCCUUGUAAUAAUAAAUAGGUUACAUAAAACAGACCCCCCAAUAACAAGAAGAGCAACUUAACAGCAGCAUAUGAUUCCCUAGUGUCUGGCAUAAAUGAAGGUAACAGUCCCAUAUUUUUUCAUUCUCAGCAUCCUUAAACAGAUCCCCGUGAAUGAGAUACGAUCACUAAUACAUGUCACUGCAUGUAACAUGGUUGAUGCCACACUUCAUGUGAGUUGCAUGCAUCUAGAUGAUGUUUGGGGCAAAAGGGUAUACAGAAUACCCUCAUUAGCAAAUGACAAAAAUUAAUCCUAUCACCCAUAUGAUUCUCAGUUCUAGGCAUGCAUGAAACUAGUUUCCCUCAGAGAGGUGUCACUUAACACCUUCACCCAUGACUAUAUGCAUCUUUUCACUUACAAUAAAGCUAGAUCAGCUACAUGUAAAAUCUUGUAAUAAUUCAAUUUUUUACCCAAGAUUCAUCCAUCACAUGCAUAAUUUCAGACAUGUUUACACAUUAACAAAAUGUCACAUGAUUUUGACUUUAUGAUGCAUUGGACUAUUGAAGAACGACACAAGUUGAGAGAUUUGGCUAUAUGGAGCUUCCAAAAAAUUGAAAAGGCAAAUGGUUCCUUGAUUUAGUCAACUGUCACCAAUUUAAAGGGCUAUCUUGAGCUUCAAGACAAAUACCGCAGAAUAACAGACUAGUCAACAUACCUUAAGAAUGGGACCGAUUUUGAAAGUGCCCAUGAUUUGCUCCUUGGAUACCAAGAGAGAAGAGGAAUGAGUGCAAAGGAAUCUGUAUUGAUGCAGCACAUUUAGCCAUUCAUUCAGAACAUCUAGUGAGUCUUCGGAGGCAUCAAAAACAAGUGCAACAAUCAUAGUUGGGAUGAUAGCACAGCUUCGAGUGAUCAAUGCCCUUAACCAUUUCUUUAACCUCAAGUUCAGGAAACCUCCCAUGAUAAACUGCCCUGCAUAAGUGCCAGUAAUGGUGCUGCUUUGGCCAGCUGCUAAUAAUCCAAUGCCCCAGAUGUAUAAAAUUGGGAAAAAUCCACCCCCGUAUUUAUCUUGAAGAUAUUGCCCUGCAUUUACAAGGCCAAUACUAUUGGCCAGUUCUGUCCCAUAGAAACCUUUAGCAAAAACAGUCGUCACAAACAAAUUGAUUACGAACGAUAUUACAAGGGCAGUGGUUGACUCUAUGGAGUAGUAUCUGAGAGCUUCUUGAACCCGGCCUUUCUUAUUGUGGUCGAUCUCCCUUGACUGUACAAGAGCAGAAUGCAAGAACCAUUGUGAGGCAUGAUAAUGCAACCCACAACUCCAACAGCCUGUUGUAUUGUUCUGGAGCUAAGUUUGGGAAUUAAGAUACCUACACCAAUAGAGAAUCCAAUUAACUCUCUCCAAGAUACAAGGUAGCAUUACAGUCGGACAAAUGGUAAGAAACCAAGGAAACUGGAAUCUUAAAUUGAAAUCUUAAGUUAAGCAUGACAUUACUCACCCAGAAAAAGUUCGGAGGCACUGGGUUUUGCAUCUGCAAACAUCCAUCCAAAUGUAACUGCCAUUAUUCCAAUAAGGACCGCAAAUACAGCCUCCAAUUUUCUCACACCGUAGUUCUCUAGAAAUAGGAAGAUGAAGCUGUAUUGACACAAGAAAUGAAUAGCAUCACCACAAUGAACUAUACUUUUCUAAAAGAAAAUUAACGUAUACUCUGUUUAAUUGCUACAGAACUGAAAACAGGAGGGAAAGUCUCUCCAGUUUCCAGAAAAACAAACAAAAGAUCAAUAAUUUAUGGCUUCUGUGCAGUAAUUUACAUAUAUCCAACACCGGGCGACAACAGUAAUUGAUUAAUUACUUAUCCUUUUAAUUUACUGAUAGCUUACCUGAUUUACUUAGUCUCCAACAACAACAUAAUUCAUGAAAAAUCACAGAUAAAGUACUUGAAAAUUGAAGCCUUCAAAUUAAAAAGCCAAAAAAAAUUCAACAGACAAAAAUCCGAAAACCGAGAAACAAUUACUAAAAGACAACACAAUAGAAUAAAGCCUUGCAAUCUUAAAAAUGGAAAAAAUCUUAUAUUCAAAAACCAAAUUAUCCAAAAAGAAUUAGAAACUCUAAAUCAAACGUCCUCAGCUUGAUAAACAAAAUCCCCUCAAAACAACACAAAAAAAGAGCCAAAACCAACCAAUCCAAACAAAAGGGUAUUCAAAACAAGGAAUUACCAAUCACAAGCAGUAAUAGUAACACCAGCCCACAAAGGCAAAAACCCAUUACUCAAGAUCUUAAGAGCAAUAGCACUUCCAAUAACCUCUUGUAUAUCAGCACCAAUCAAAGCCAACUCAGCCAUAAUCCACAAAACCAUUGAAGCCCAGGUUGGAUACUCUUCUCUACACAGCUCAGCUAAAUGCCUCCCUGUAGCCACUCCAAGCCUCGCUGAAAGCAACUGCACCAACAACCCCAUAGCAGUAGCCCAUAAAAGAAGCCAAAGCAAAGAGUAGCCUGCGAUUGCACCAGCCU
rnacentral:lncRNA from 1 species